GGUAGUCCAGGGUGUAAACGCUGCAGACUUGGUGUUGGAGGCCCUUCGGGGGCAUUCAGUGCCGGAGAGAAGUUGUUAAGUCUGCUACUUGGGGAGUACGUCCGCAAGGAUGAAACUUAAAGGAAUUGGCGGGGGAGCACCGCAACGGGAGGAGCGUGCGGUUUAAUUGGAUUCAACACCGGAAAACUCACCAAGGGCGACUGUUACAUGAAAGCCAGGCUAAUGACCUUGCUAGAUUUUCAGAGAGGUGGUGCAUGGCCGUCGUCAGUUCGUACCGUAAGGCGUUCUCUUAAGUGAGAUAACGAACGAGACCCUCACUGAUAAUUGCUACUUCAUUCUCCGGAGUGGAGGCACAUUAUUGGGACCGCUGGCGCUAAGUCAGAGGAAGGAGAGGUCAACGGUAGGUCAGUAUGCCCCGAAUCUCUUGGGCUACACGCGCGCUACAAAGGGCGGGACAAUGGGCUCCGACGCCGAGAGGCGAAGGUAAUCUCGAAACCCGUCCAUAGUUCGGAUUGAGGGUUGUAACUCACCCUCAUGAAGCUGGAUUCCGUAGUAAUCGCGAAUCAACAACUCGCGGUGAAUAUGCCCCUGCUCCUUGCACACACCGCCCGUCAAACCAUCCGAGUUGGGUUUCAGUGAGGUUGCCUCUAAUUAGGGUAUUCGAACUGAGAUUUAGCAAGGAAGGUUAAGUCGUAACAAGGUAUCU
rnacentral:rRNA from 1 species